GCCCUCCGAGGAGCCGGGUUUCUUUUUUCCGCCUUCUUCGCCAUCGUCUUCUUCUUCGUUUUUCUACUUUUUUAUGUGAUGUUAGCUAGAAGAAACGGCUGAAGAUCAAGAAACUUUUUUUUUGAGUGUAUCUGCAUUUUUUUUUUUCAUGCUGCUCGUCAACACUUGAAAAGCAAAAUAGAAGAUUUUCAAAAA
ensembl:ncRNA K03C7.7 ncRNA